GUAAAUAAAGUGAGUUUUAUCAUUAUCGAUCUCUACUAUUAAAAAUAAAAUUAUGAAACUUUGUAUUAAAACAGACAAUCAAAUAAAUGAAAUAAUGUUUAUUUCAUUUAAUAAUAAGUUAAGCUGAGAAAUAAUAUUCUCUUAUGACAAAAUUUUUACAAUUUUUAAAACAUGAAGUCACCUUAUUUUCUUUCACUAACAAUUAGUCAGUGACUAUAUUUCUAUAUUUGUGGAAAAAAAAAGAAAAAUCACUGUCUGACAAAAUUAAAUUAUCCAUGCUUAUUGUAAUCGAAUUCUCCAGUGUUGUGUUUGUCCUCAUUUCAAUCUCAUUUUCUUCUUAGCAUGAACAACAACGAAUUAAUUUAGUCUAUUUCUAUUUUAACAUAUAUGCUUUUCUACAUGAGAUAUAACAUAAUUUGCUAGCAUUCUGGAAAUAAAAAAUAACAAUCUAUCCACUUUAAUUUAACUUUUACUUCCAUUAAAUUUAUAAAAUAAAAAAUAAGUUAAACCAGAGAAAAUUUGCGAUACAAUUUAUAAACAUCACAAUAAAAUAUGUUAAUAAAUUAAUUACAUUAAAAACUAAACUAAAAACAAUCCUUUUUUUAUUUAGUUCUUGUUAUAUAUGAAAACUAAAUUAAGUACAUUAAUUCUAUUCUUGUUAUGAUCAAAACUGAAUUAUAUAGUAAAAAUAAUUUAAUAUAUUCAAACAAAUUUAUAAUAUUUCUAAACCUUCAAAAAACGAAAAUAAUUUUUCGGAAUCAUUAGUUUUGAUAUAUAACAAAAACUAAGUAAAAAGAUUGUGUUUUUUUAACAAAAUAAACCCUAUCCCAUAAGUUUUUGGUUUGAUUAACUUAGCCAUAUGAAAACACUUUCCUUUUAACAUAUCGAAUUAUGAGCCAUCAAAAUAUCCCAUUUCUAAAAAAUAAACCCUAUCCCAUAAGCUCACCUCAAUUUCAUUUAUAUUUAUAUCCAGAGUUACUCUUUCCUGAUAAUAUUUUUUAACAAAAUAUAAAAAUAAUUAAUAUAUAAAUUUUUAUUAUUAUGCAUAUAUCAUAUUAAAAGAUGAUAAUUAUUAUACAUAUAUAUACCAACAAAAAAUCGCGAUAACUGUAUGUUUCGGGGUCCUAAAAAAUUUUUCUAAUUAAUAAUGAUCUUGAUAAAUCCUCAACAUGUCCUUUUUGUUUGUUCUUUAAUUUUUAAGUUACUUAAAUUUGGGCAACAAUAACUUCAACGUCAUUCAAUAUCAUGAUCAAUGUAAAAAUUCUUCUAAUAACAUUUACCAUCUUGAUUUGUCAUAUAAUGACAAUAUUAGGAGAAUUUUCAAUAGAGUAUAUUAAAAAUCCUCCUAAGAUUGUCAUUAUUAGACAAAUCAAAAUGGUAAAUGUUAUUAAAAGAAUUUCCACACUAAUAUGAUAUUGGAUAAUGUUAAAUUUAUUAUUGUCUAAAUUCAAGUCAUUUAAAAAUUGAAGAUCAAAUAAAAAAGAAAUGUUUUUCACCAGUUAGGCAAUGUAAUUUAUCAAAAUCAUUACCAAUCAGAAAAAUUUGUUCCUUGCAUUCAAUAAUCAUCACAAGCUUCUCCAUACACCAUCUCGAAGAUGACCA